UAAUAUCUGUAUAAUUGAAACUUCCAUUCUUGAACAAAUAUUGUAGUUUUGUUACAAUUUUAGGUGGACAUUCAUCAGUACAGUAUGUGUCUAGCUCUGGUUCACACUCGACACCUAGAAGACAAGAUCCUGUCAGUCCACAGAAGAAGAAUAAUGAUUCUUCUUGCAGUGUCCAGUAAUUACGUUCACUAUACCAUUAUAUGUUCAAGUUGGUAGUUACGUUUGGAAAAUAUUUGAUCUAUAACUUUCAUGAAAGGUGCUAGGAUUAAAAAAAGAAAUACUUUUGUAUAUCUUUCUACAGAACAUUUAUAAGUAUUGAUGCAACAUAUUUAAACAUCUUGGUGCAAAAUGCUUGUAAAAAUCUUGGUUUAUAAUAUUUGUUAAUCUUGAUGCAAACAAGGUUUACUAGUAUAUCAUUUUGUAUGUAAAUCUUGUUUCAAAAUAUUUGGAUAUCCCGGUGCAAAAAAUUUGGAUUUCAUCGUGCAAAACAUUGGCAUAUGUUGGUGCAAAACACUUAUUACAGAUGUAUAUUAUGAUGUUUAUAAUUGUAUAUGUAUAUCUUUGUUAUAACCAGUUUUAUUACCAAUGUGCAUUGUAUCAUAUACUGUAUAACAGUUAUACAUGUAUAUUUUGGUUUGAGUUUAAACAUGUACAUGUUUGUUAUGAACAUGAAUAUUGUUGUGUUAAAAUGAUUGUAGAUGCAUUUGUCGGAUACACAUAAGAAUACAUUGAUGAAAAAUAUUUGUACAUGCAUCUUCUGUACAAAAUAUUUGAUUAUUUUGAUGCAUUUUAUAAUUCUGUUUUACAUUAAACAGUAUAGGUCAGGACAGUGCAAUGUUUAGGAACAAUGGUUGCCCUAGUCUUAGCCUGUGAUGUUCUAAAUGAUGUUAAACAUCAUUCUGUUUAUUACUUAUAUUAUAUGAGGAGCAUCAACUUAGCCUCCCUGAGCCAACCAGUUAAGGUUGCUAAUUUUGAACCUCUUGUUAUCACCGUUGGCUCGAAUCCCGAUAAGACCCUGUUAUUACAGUGGGCUGUAAUCUUGCUUAGGACUUGGGAUUUUUUUAAAUGAGAUGUUAUCCAGCUAGCUUACAUAAUGUUGGUGGUUCUACUCUGGCUCUUGCUUGUGCCUAAAAUAAUGCAAGGAGAGAGAGCCUGAGGUCUACAUCCACCAUAUAAAGCUGGAGUGGCCAUUAAAGUGCUUGUCAGAAAAAAAGAAAAAUCGAAAAAAAGUUGUGUGUGUGUGAGUAUAUAUGUAUAUAUAUAUAUUGGAAUGAAAUGAAUAUAUAUUUACGUAUGUAUAUAAGAAACUGUACUAAAUGCAUUUGUUGUGUUGAAAUUUUGGCAGGAGAAAAAAAAUCAUAUUUAAUAUAGUAUUUUUUCAUUAAACCAGGGUAUUAAUGCACAAUAGAGCAGACAGAGGUUUAAAGUUUGCUUACACAUUGAUAUUGUAUUUAUUUUUAUAGCAUUCACGCCUAAAAAGGCUUAAAUUUCGUUUUCUCAAAACCUUUUGAAAUUUUUUGUUCUGUUAGUUUCCUUAUGUACUUACUGCUCAUAAAGCUGAAGAGCAUCUUUUGUUUAUUUUUGUCCUUAAAUAAAGUUAAAGUGAUUUAUUACAUUGUAUGCAAGACAAAAUACAUGUACCACCUAAUUAAGUAUUGCUACUUUUAUGACAAGUUAGGUCUCAUUUGCUAUUAUUUAAUUCUGCUUUCUUCACAUGACCAAUCAUCUCUUAAUCCAUUAUUGAAUCUUUAUAAAACACAGGUUUGCCUUUUCUUCAGAAAAAAAAGUUUAUAAUCAUUUCUGAGGUUAAAUGUGCAACUGUUGAUUUUGUGCAAGUCAUCUAUUUGAUAUAGUAAUUUUACAAAAAAAUGAAGUUUUUUUUUUUUAAGUUUGUUGUUGCUAUGUUUUUUUUUUCUUUUCUUUUUUUGGCUUUGUACUAGUAUAUUAGUUGUCAAAAAAUUAAUUCCUGAUACAACAUGUUUACUUGGUGUGGGGUCCUAGAAGACCAAAAAAAAAAAAAAAAAUUUACUAUAAAAUGAUAGUAAGAAAGCUUGUUUAGUUUUCUUGAAUGUUAGUUUAAAAAUACGGAUGUAGUUGUAUAUAUAUGUAAUAUGUUUAUAUAUAUUUUGCUAAGUUAAAUUCUUUCCAAAAGUGGAAUGAAAUAUGUUUGAUGCAAUGAAUGACGGAUGAUUUUCUUUUUGUUUCUAGUAUAACUAUGCCUUGAUAAGCGAAUAUUUAUGAUUUCUUUACUUACCCGGUGAUUGAUCUACUGUAUGGAUCUUGUAAUUUUAUAAUAUAUUUAAAACUAAUUAUUCUAAUGUUUGACAUUAAAGAAUUUUCUCAAACUAAUGUUUGACAUUAAAGAAUUUUCUCAAACUUAGUAAAAUGUAGGUGUAAAAAAAUGCAAUUUUUAGUGCAGAUUGACAUAUUUAAUUUGUUUUCUAUUGUUUGCUAUAUUAAUCAAAAGUUUUUGAAUUUCCAAGGAAAUAACUAAGAUUGCAUCAAAUCUGCUAUAAUAACCUGCCAAGAUUUGUGCUCAAAGGGCAGGGAAAGGGCAAGAACUCUUGUCUUCAGGAAACUGAGAUUUGGGUGGUAAUUGGGAUAUUGCUACAUUACCGUUGAUGAUAUGGUGCUGUAGUAGUUCAAAUAAAGGACAGUUAAUCUUCAGUCAAGUGGUCAUAGGAAAGGUGUGACUGCCUUUGGUAUAUUUUUCAUCCAUGUUUUAUGAAGUGGAAUGUAGAAUCUUACCAAGGAAAGUGAAAAAAUAGUCCCUGCAUUGAUAGUGAAAGUUGUUAAGAUUGUUAGCCCAGUUACUGACAGUGAAAGUUGUUAGGAUUAGUUAAAUAUUUCACCUACUUCUGUUCAUGUCAGAAUGAUAUGGGUAAUUUAGUUUUGGCAGUCUAGAAGGUGAUAUAGUUUAGCAGGUGUCAUACUCCACAGCAAAAGCAUCAGUAAAUUUACUGCACUUGUCAUUUUGUAUUGACGUUCUGCUAGAUGUAAAUGUUAUGGUGACUGAUGGAAUGAAAAUGUAAAGAUUUUGCCACCAGCUAUCUAAAGCUGAGUUAGUCUGCACAUCCAUGUUGUCUCACAUUGCAGUAGAAUUUCUUCUUGGUGGCCCCAAAGUUGGUAACAGUAUGUUCUUAAAUAUGAAUUUGACAAGGUUUGAGUUAAUAAUUGUUAACUUAUAUACUUUUGAAGCAUUAAAUGAGCAGUCACCCAGCUUAUAAAGCUUGAAUAUAUAAAGUAUAUUUGUUCUGAGUGUAUAUGCUAAGUUUAAUGUUGUGAAGUGGAUUUUUAAAAUUUAUUUUCAGGCAUUUAGUGCAUUAGAAAAAAAAUCAUCAUUUGAUAAAUUACAUUAUAAGGUUGUUGGGUAAGUUAAUUUUCACCAUGAAGGAUAAAUCAGUAUGUGAUAUAUGAUAUAUCUAACUGAUAAACCAUGAUCCUCAGUGAUGAUAUUACAUAUUGAUAACUUUAAUUACAAUUAUUUUAAUCGUUAAUAUUUGUGAUUACUUCAAUUUAAUUCUAUCAAUCCAUGAAUGCCUUCAUUUGUCCAUUAAUCCACAUUCAUUUGAAUUUUGGAUGUGUACUUUUAAUGGGUAUUUGUUGACUUUUUACAGUAAAUUUUUGUAGAUUAAAGAACUUCAUGAUAAUGAUCUACAUAAUAAUUUGCUGUUGUUUCAUGGUUGAAAUCAUUCAAUAUAAAGAAAAGGCAAAGUAUAAACUUGAAUGUAUGAUGAUUAAAUGGUGAGGUUAUGUGUUGGAAUACACUGUUUUUAUAGUCAGUGUGACAGUACAUGGUUUGAUGUUGGCUAGUGUUGUCUUUGACUUCAUGAUUGUAGCUUACAGAAAUCUCUGAAGAGACUUGAACAACAUGGGUAUUUGUUGCAAUAUGUGUGCAACCAUUACAAGAAGUUAACUUUGCCUUUUAAUGAUUGAUUCUUGAAUCAAAUGAAAUUUUCACAUUAAUCUAAAUUGUUUCUUGAAUCAAUUGUAUUUAUUCAUUGGGAUUGGGAAUAAUCCAUAUUGAUUUUUGUACUGAUGUAAGGAUUUUGAAAUGUUUGUAUAUAUUUUGAAAUUGGUGUAAAAACCAGACAAAAAAAAUGGGAAUGUUUUUUAUGGGUUUAUAAUUUUUUGUGUUUUUGUACGCUAGUUAAAAGCCGUAACAUUGUCUUGUUUAAAUUAGCUUUGGUCGGUGCAAGUAAUUUUUCAUGGCUUUAAAUGUUUGGCUAUUGUUUUUGUUUCAAACUUAAAAAAACAAACAAAACAUUUCCCUGUUCUUUUUUCUUGUUUUAGUUGUACAACAUGCAUGACUUGUCAAAUGAUUUGAAUAAGUUGAUGUCAUUUUCAUAUAGCCAGUGAUAUAUAUAUAUAUUUAGCCAAUAUCUACUUUUUAUCAAGAUUGAAUUGUGAUAACUAAAUGAAUUGUAAACUUACCUUGUAUGGAACAGUUGAUUUCUUACAUAUAUAGACAUGGUAGUGCUGUAAUCUGAAACAAUUUAUUACAUGAUAAAGGUCGAAGUAUCAAAUCACUGAUACAUUCAGUGAUAAAGGUUAUCAAUGUUCUACAUGUCAUAGCCGAAAGUUAAAGGUUUGGAGGGACGUCCCUGGCUGAGUGGUUAAGGUCCUUGACUUUCACUGUGGGUUUGAAUACAGACAGGGACUUCGGAUUCUUUCAUGAGAGGAAACUAUACAGCUAGCUCUAGAAAGUCUGUGGUUCUCCAAUAUUUCAGGGACAAACAGGCACAUAAGGUCUUCCUCCACCAAUAAAGCUGGAAAGUCGCCAUAUGGCCUGUUAUAUGUAAGCGCGAAGUAAGCCUCUCCUCGCCCACUAAAAAAGCUUGCUGUUUCAUUAGCAUGCAGCACUAUCAUCUUGUUGACUUUAUUGAAGAAAAAACCUUGUAAAAUUCCUUAUCCCUUAAUAAAAACUAGAAAGCUAAACUAAUCAGUAUGUAACGUUUUCUGAGGGACUUACCAUGCCAUGAACAGUUUGUUAAAGAAAAUGGUACUGCUUUUUGAGUCAUACAAUAAACAUAGAUAGACUCGUGGGUAAAGCAAAUUGUCAGAAAUUUCAAGGCCUUAAGUUAAGCUUUUAUUAUCUGCAAGAAUUUCUAGGAAACGUCUACAAAGUUGAAAAUUUUGAUCUGGGUGAUCAAUACAAGUCUUAUAGAAAGGGUCGAUGGAUGUCUCAUACUUUUUGCCAGAUCCGUCUUACUUUACCAAAAUUUAAGUAUUUUGGAAGAUCUUGUGCCCUCCACGACUGACAUUGUGUCGGUCACUGAAGCUAAAAAUAUAGUUUCCAUCUUUUGACAGAGACACUUGUCGAAGCAAGAUACUUUGUUUAAUGACUGAACAAUUUAUCGACCCUCUUUGUGUUAAGUAAUGACAUAAUUAUGUACCUUCCAUGAUAUAUUUUUUUCUAGAUUUCUGUUUACUUCGUUUUGUCGCCGUCUGUUUUAUUAAUAAAGUUUCUUUUGUUGCUGUUAA